rnacentral:lncRNA from 1 species
GAAGACUGCUUCUGCUCGGGCUACUGAGAUAUCAUAUAUUUAACUAGCUUAUUCUAUAUGGGGGUCCAUCAAGUGUCCUGCUGCUCGGUUGCCUUGGGUUUGAAGCAACGUAUAGAUUCACCUCCUCAUCUCUCUUCUCUCUGCAAAGUGCAAGACCUUCUUCCUUCAUGCCGGAAAGGAUCAACAUAUUAGAACAUCCCAAGAUCCAUGUGAGCUCCCUCACUCUCUCUUUCUCUCCCUCUCUCUUUUGAACCCUAUGAUUCCAUUAGCAGGGAAAGGAAAAUACAUAUCCUGAUUCAUCAUUUCAUGCGAGGAACACAAAGAUGCAGCUGCUGCAAGCUGUAUUCAGUAAGAUAAUUAUAUUUUGUUGGGAGAUAUUCUGCCAUCAGUUCUUGCUUGGACUUUUCUUAGGGAGACAGAUCAGAAUUGUCCUGUCCUUUAUGCGACUAAAUUCCAUGCACUGUGUUUAUUGCUUUUAAUUUGUUUAGUAGUAUUCAUUUUGGGUUCUUCGGAAUGUGCAGUAACAACUGUGAAGGUUCUUCCCUGCUUUUGCUUUGGCAGCUCAACCACUGUAAUCCAAACCCUCUCUCUCUCUCUCUCUCUCU